rfam:Bacillus sp. FJAT-27231 Scaffold1, whole genome shotgun sequence.
UCAAGGCGUUUUACAACUCUUGAGAUAAUUAGAUAAGAAGGGCGUCUUAUCUGGUAACGGAUAAGAGGAUCACUGGGUGAAUUGCUGGAACUUCCUAAAGCUUCAUCAACCACAACGUAACUGGAAACGGUCAACGUGAAGGUGUGAAAAUGAUGGAGAUGGAACAAUGGAUAAUCAGCAGCCAAGCUCCUGUGAGGAAACUCUGGAGAAGGUUCAACGACUAGAGAAAACGGUCUAAGGUAAAAGCUAUGACUAUGAAUCUCGUAGGGCAGUAAACGCUGUUCGAAGUGCCCAGCCCCUUAUAGAAUAAGGGUGAAGAUAUAGUCUAUUCUGUCACUGAAAGGUACAG